CUGAGGGUGUAGCUCAGUGGUACAAUGCUUGCCUAAUGUGAUUGAGGUCCUGGGUUCAAUCCCUAGCUCUCAGA
rnacentral:tRNA from 1 species